rnacentral:rRNA from 1 species
AGUGAACGCUGGCGGUAGGCCUAACACAUGCAAGUCGAACGGCAGCACAGUAAGAGCUUGCUCUUACGGGUGGCGAGUGGCGGACGGGUGAGGAAUACAUCGGAAUCUACUUUUUCGUGGGGGAUAACGUAGGGAAACUUACGCCAAUACCGCAUACGACCUACGGGUGAAAGCAGGGGAUCUUCGGACCUUGCGCGAUUGAAUGAGCCGAUGUCGGAUUAGCUAGUUGGCGGGGUAAAGGCCCACCAAGGCGACGAUCCGUAGCUGGUCUGAGAGGAUGAUCAGCCACACUGGAACUUGGACACGGUCCAGACUCCUACGGGAGGCAGCAGUGGGGAAUAUUGGACAAUGGGCGCAAGCCUGAUCCAGCCAUACCGCGUGGGUGAAGAAGGCCUUCGGGUUGUAAAGCCCUUUUGUUGGGAAAGAAAAGCAGCAGGUUAAUACCCCGCUGUUCUGACGGUACCCAAAGAAUAAGCACCGGCUAACUUCGUG